AAAAAAAAGAAAAAAUAACUUUAAUGUGUCAAAAGAGAGGAAGAGAAACGAUAACAAACUCUUUCUUUCGUUGUUGCCAGAGUUCUUUUUCCAUUCGGCUUUGCUGGCUAAAAAAAAAAAAGUUGCGUU
rnacentral:ribozyme from 11 species